GAUUCUUUUGUCUUGCAGUUCAACAUCGUGUGUUGGGUUCUUAUAUUAAGAAACAUGUUUCACAUGAAGGCGAUGGACAGGAAGACGUCAAUGGAAAAGAUUAAAACGAGCCUGCGUUCCCUGUGUGUGCUUGUUCCUUUGAUGGGCCUCUCCUGGAUUCUCGGCAUCCUUUACGUCAACGAGACAUCUGCAUUUAUGCAGUAUUUGUUUGCACUGUUCAACACAUUGCAGGGCCUAUUUAUCUUCAUAUUCCACUGCAUUUUUAACCAACAGGUGAGGUUAUUUUGGUUCGAUUCCCACCAACAAACUCAUUAACAUUACGUGUAUGGUGACUUGUUUAUUGUUUUU